rnacentral:lncRNA from 1 species
GUGGACCAAAAUCUGCAAGAUUUGGAGGUAGAUUUUCAGUCAACAUAUCGUUAGCAUUUAUCGGCGAAAAAAAAUGAGGGCCCUAAAUGUGUUGGGCUGAUAUAUAGCCCACAGUUUAUUGGGCCCACUUGAGGACCAAACAUUAGCUCUUUAGGCCCAUUUUUUAGGCCCAGUCGUUGGGGAAGCCCGACGAUGGCGAGCAGUCCGCCGCAACAGCCGACGACGGCGGCGGGAGGCGCCGGCGUUCUUCCCGCCGCCGGCGCGCGCGGUGCCCGUCGCCCUGGACGCGAUCCUGUCGCGGCGCGUGGGAGCUCGGUUUCCCGCCGCCGACGAUGUCUCCCUCUGCCCGCCUCGCCGCGCCGCGCCUCGCCGCGCAUCCGAGGACGGGGACAAGCCCAAUCAAUGCCCUGCCGUGGCGGCCUCGCCGCCGGCCACCUCUGCAACCUCGCUUCUCCUGGUAGUUCCCCUCUUUCCAUGCUCUGCAUUUCCCUGAUCUGGGUGCCCGUGUUUUUGCUCUCGUGCUAAUGGCUAGCGAAAUCAAAUCCCAAUGCGUAAUGCGAUACGAUACGCGUUCCUCGUACUUUUCCCCUCGGUGAACUGAUCACGGAAUGGAUUCUCGCUUAGCCCAUUCGAGGCUCUCGCAUCGCAUUCAUGUAAUAUCGAUUGAAUUCCUACCGAGGAAUUGGAUAUCGAGACGAAUUUCGUUUCCCCAUGCUUAGGGUGAUAUGAUGAUAUCAACUGAUUGAUUUACAGUUUACACCUUCAAACUUUUUUGCUUAUAAUGCUCGUGAUCGUACAGUUUACUCCCUACUGAUGUAGUGAUGUUUAAUUACAUGGACGUUCAAGAUUUUCCUCCUGUGAGGGUGAACUUUUUAAACCUCCCCAGGAACAUCACUAAAAUUAUCAUCAGCUUACCUUCGUCGGUCCACUUGCCGACGAACCCAUAUGAAGUAGCUUUGCAGGUAGCAUCAGGUUUCAGCAACCUCUCGCAGCUAUAGCCUAGUGAGUAUCCCACAUUGGCGUAUGCACUGUGAAAGAAAAUUUUGCAUCAUUGCUUGGAAGGUGCAAACAUAAUUUUCUUUUAUGCUGACCUUCUUCAUAUUUCUUUUCCAUGCACAUAGUUAAUUUGGAAGGCCAUUGUUGAGGGUAGUAAUGGUUUCAAAGUUGGGGGAUGGAAAUCAUUCCUAUUUCCUAGGCCAUAGUUGAGGGUUUUCCUAGAAAUAAGGAUGUGAACUUACCUGAUAAUUUUGAAUGCUAUGCUGAAAAUGUUGAAAUUUAGUGGAUCAGUAGAUAUUGACUUCCUUUCUGUUAUGCAUGCUAUAAUUGUGAAUAUUGCUAAGCAAGCAGACUUUGAAAUGAUAAAAUUCUUCCAUAUGGCCUGAUCAUUUGAAUUUCUUCCUCGUUCUGUCAAAGGCUUGUUAUCAGCAUUGAUAGGGAGAGCUGAAUUAUCAGAAGGAUAGUACCUGCAAAUAAGUUAAUGGCAUGUUGUCAUUGAAGUUUACGUGGGUACUAGCAUGCUUUUCUAUUUUUUUGAUGAAUUGACUAUCUGGAUUGUGGAAUCUGUUCUUCUCCGCCAUGUUGUGACCUCUGUCAUAGUGCAGGAUUUUAUGGUUGUUUUGAUUUUGUUCUAUGCAUUUAUCUGCUUUUUUUUCUUUUUCGAGUACACAAAUUGCUGACUUAGCUGUAGUAAACAAGUAUGUUUCUCACCGAGACAGUGUUCAUACUUCCAUGUUAUUAUCUAGAACUUCAUUUAAACUGAAACUCUUGCGAGAACAUAAGGCUGGCCUUCAACAAGUGAACUAGUUUUGUGUUCCUUUAUUAAGAUAACUAAGCAAUUUCAACCAAAAAAUAUCUGAAGAUUUUAAGCUCAUAAUUGUUUAUGUUGUUUCGUUCUGAAAUUAUGUGCUUAAUUUAUCCUUUGCAGUUACUGAUGGUGAUUGUGCCAUAUUUAUGAUAAAAUUCUGAAAGUCCUGAUAAAUGCUUCAAAAUAAUAAAUAUUAUGAAAUGUUUAUAGGGAAUACUUACAUGACAAGUGCAAAUAGAACUAGUAUUGGACUCAAUGACAGCUUCACCAGCAUGCCUUGUAUUCACAGUUUCACACUCUGGAACAAUGAGCAAACCAACUUUUCAAAUCAGUUCAUUCCAUUUAAGGCACUUGAGUUCCACUCAAAAUAGGAAAGAAACAUCACUUGCAGCAGAACUAGCCCCCCAACAGUGAGAACCAUGUUGACUGAAUUCUUCUGCAAUUGCAAAUACCUGUAGCCAGUAUCCUCUGGAUGCUGAAGGAUGUAGGCAUAUUCUUCUCUUCUGCUAACCUUCCUCAAGAUCCAUAUGCUUAACCUCAAUAGUGGCGAUAAUAUAGUGUUGCCUGCUAGAACCUGUGGGGUAACCAGAAGUUAUAGACUGGAUUUCUUUCUGAAUAUUGCCAUGUUAUCAUUUACCGGGGUGAAGCCGCAGUUUGCAAAUGAGGAUACUGCUGUGAAGAUGGAAAACGUCCAUAUUUUGAUAUCUUUACUCUUCAGGAGUUGUCUUGUAUCUGAGUCAAUCUGAGCAAAAAUAAUAAUGACUAAGGAGCUGCAAACAACAGCUGCUAUGAAGUAGCCUGUCACUAUAUGAGCCAACAUAUUGCGGCACUUCUGUUUCAUGGUUCUGCUUCCCUGUACCCAGUUAAGUGAUAUGGUUGCUUCUGAUUGGAAGCCUUGUGAACUAUUUUGAUUGCUAUCAUUUACAGCAUCAAAGGAUUCAAUAUUCCUUCUCGUCGAAGGUGAUCUUUUUGGGAGGACUUCGUUUGUGUUGGUCUCAGCAUUGUUGAAGUGCAGCGCCAGCAUUGAAAUGGAUACUUCUCCUCCCAAUAUCAUCAGAAGUAUUAACACCCAGAGUUGCUGGUUAGAAAAGUCUUCCAUCUCUACUGUUGCCAUGCUUGAGACUGCUGCUGUGGACACAGAAGUGAACAUCAAAUCCAGGUCCCUUGGAGUUGGCUUGUGUCGUGGCUUGAGGAUCUUCAGAGCAAGGAAACCAACAAAGGAUAUUGAGAUGAAGUACACAAGUUGAACUAUUAAUGGAUUGCUUUGGAACAUGAAAAACCAGAAACAGCGUCUGAAGAAACACACUGCACAUUUGGAGAGGGAACGAAGCCUCAUGGAGAUAAACACAUGGAGGUGCUUAACUUUCUCUGUAAUGUCCCUAACCACUUGGAACUUGGGCUGUGGGAUUUUCAUGGCUAAUGGCAGAUGCUGUGAUGUAACUAGGAUUGAACUGAAUGGAUGCAUCAUUGGAGGUUUGUGGGCAUAGUGUUCAGUAUGCUGGAGUUGGCUACUGGAAGGUGUUUCUUAGGUUUCAAUGAUUCUGUCUUUGCCACCAUUGCUCACUGCAACCAAGUUCUGGAUCUUAAUAUGUAGGAUGGUGUAAGACAGAUGUGCCCAUUUUGCAGAAUCAUGAUGCUGAUGGUGUGUACAGGGCCCCAACCCAGGCAUGAUUGGUGUAUGCACAAGCAUGUGCUUAGAAUAUUAUAAUGCCUAACUACUAUAUGUUCUUGAGUGAAAUGAUUGUCAGCAAUUAGAAUCCUUCAUUCACAUUUUUUGAGUCAUAAGAAUAUCCUCAAUUUAGAUUAGCUGUUUGUCUUCACACGUAAACCUGCUCUGCCUCAAUAAUUCACUCUUUUUUAAUCUAUUAUUAUCAUACGGUAUUGUAAAAAAUUAGUUGUGUUCUUCUUUAGCUGAAAUCAGUAAUGUUGCAUGUGCAACUAGUUUUGGACUACAAAUUUGUCCCUGUUUUCCUAAUAGAAUUCACCUGUGUAUCAUGAUACUGAAAUUUAGUUAUAGUAACCAUUAUUUUGAAUUUACUACUGCAUAUUGCUGUUCAGUCCAUUGUUGAAGAUUCUGGUAUCAAAGUUAUGGCUAAUUUUGGUUUUCCUUUGCAUUCACUUAAUUGAACAUUUAUAUAUUUAUUAUAACAGAUUACAAUUUGUUACCUCGUUUUAUUUUUGUAUGUAGCUGAGGUUUAUCUUUCAGAUUCCACAAAUACUAGAUUGUUUGCUUUAUUGCUAUAUAAUCAACAUCUUCUGUAGUGGGAACAAGUGUACCAGAAUGCACAAUGUGUAGUGGAGAUUUUCUUUCCCUUUUCCCUUUUAUUCUCUCUUUUUUUCACUGAUGCACCCUUGGUUGCACGUGUGUCCUUUUUAAUUUCUAUCAGAAAAGUGUAGUGACUAGGAUAAGCAAUCUAGUGUUUUUUCAAUCUUUGUGAUCUCAGCUCUCAGGUUCUUCUAGAUGCCCUUGCUUCAGAAGAAAGUACUUCUGGACGUACUGUAUGAACUGAUCACCACUUGAUAGACAUCUACAUAUCUUUUAACAUGUGGGUAUUUAAGUAUUGCAGCCAUCACAAUGACAUCCGGCCUUUUACUAGCAUUACAUGGAUGCAAUAAAUGGUCAUUGCAGGGAGCCAGUGACAGAAGCAUCUCUAUGUGAAGUGAAUCAGGUUAAUUAGCCUAUGUUGAUUUCUUGUGAUGAACUUUCAUUCACCUGAUCUGAAACUGCCAACACUUGGAGUGGAGGGUGAGCUUUGUGCAAGGAUGACAGUGGAAGGUUCCUGUCUAUGUGAAAAUGAAUAUACAAACAAACGGAAGAGAAAGAGUACAUCUUUAUACUUUUUUCCUACCCUCAGGGACCUGCAAUGUUCAGCUGGUACUGCAUCUAAGAUCUAACUAAGUUUCCAGGCUUUGCCUCCUUUCAUGCUGAACUUCUUGAGCCUCCCAAAGAACAUCACAAAAAUGAGUAUCAGUUUGCCAGAGUCGCUCCAUCUCCCUACGAAACCAGUCCAUUUAUCUGUGCAGAGAUGGUCUGGAUUGAUCUGUCUACUGCAACUGUAGCCCAUUGAGAACCCCACAUUUCCAUAUGCACUGCAAAUGUGGGCAGAUCCGUCAGAUUCCACGAAAGAAAACAUUACUAUUUUCAUUGUGUAUUAUUAAGAUUCAGAAAUACCUGACAAGUGUUACUUUGUGUUUUGCUGUUUUCAUCAGAUAAAUUGUUAAUUUACUUGGUCUGCAUUUUUUUUCUCAGGUAAGAAACCAUUUAGUCUGACUUGCCUGACAACUUCGACAACAAUGCUUAGCACACUGAAGUUGAGGGGGUCUUCUUUGAGCUUU